UACGUAGGGUUCAAGCGUUAUCCGGAUUUAUUGGGCGUAAAGCACAUGUAGGUGGAUUGAUAGGUCUUCUUUUAAAGCUCUGGGCUCAACCCAGAAUCUGGAGGAGAUACCAUCUUUCUAGUGGUCAGCAGGGGCAAACAGAAUUCCCGGUGUAGGAGUGAAAUCCGUUGAUAUCGGGAGGAAUACCAAUGGCGAAGGCAGUUUGCUAGGCUGAUUCAGACACUGAGAUGUGAAAGCGUGGGGAGCGAAC
rnacentral:rRNA from 1 species